rnacentral:rRNA from 1 species
GUGCUGAAUUAUUCGCCAAUGCGCGAAAGCGUGACGGUGCGACGCCGCGUGCGGGACGAAGGCCUUCGGGUUGUAAACCGCUGUCAAGGUAUAGAAAACCGUCGGAGUUAAUAGCUCCGGCGCUGAUCCUACCUAAAGGAAGCACAGGCUAACCUCGUGCCAGCAGCCGCGGUAAUACGAGGUGUGCGAGCGUUGUUCGGAAUCACUGGGCAUAACGGGUGCGUAGGCGGUGCGCCAAGUCGGGUGUGAAAUCCCUUCGCUUAACGGAGGAACUGCAUUCGAUACUAGCGUGCUAGAGGGUAAAAGGGGCAAGCGGAAUUCUAGGUGUAGCGGUGGAAUGCGUAGAUAUCUGGGAGAACGCCGAGGGCGAAGGCAGCUUGCUGGGUUACUUCUGACGCUGAGGCACGAAAGCUAGGGGAGCAAACAGGAUUAGAUACCCGGGUAGUCC